GCCUUCUGAUACUGCACAUUCCAAGUGUCGACUUUUCCGCUCAUCAAAAACAGAAGCCAGCUUUGCAGUCUCAGAGCUUCAGGCAGUACAGAUCUGCAAGCUGACCCAGAGCAGAGCAAGGAGAAAAAAGUACUGAAUGGGGUGAGAACUGCCGCGUUCAAAAUUACUGAGAUAUUUCAAUACUGAAUUGAAAUAUUUCCCAGGGACAGGGAAAAAAAUCAAAGUGGAGUUGUUCCUCCCAACUUUGACCUGGCAUUCAGCCAUUGCAUCUGUCCUAGGGGAUUUUCCUGUUCCUCUGACCAGAUCCUCAUCUUUCUCAAAGAGGUCUUCUGCCCCAGAAGAGAAAAGUGCUCUUCUACAGAUGUGGUGCUCAGGGACGUGAUUUAGUGGAGGGUUUUUAGUAAGGGAGAUGGGGUAGUAUAGUUAGGUCAUGGUUGGACUCGAUGAUCUUUAAGGUCUUUUCCAACCUGAGUGAUUCUGUGAUUCUGUUAUUCCUCUUGCCUUUGCCAUGGUUGCUUUCCUCUUGGCAUCCUCUGAGUGUCCAAGAAGAACAGCUAUGAGAGGGGUGGAGGGAAAGGAAUAUAAAGCCUGGCUGCACAUGGCAGCUGUGGACACUUCAGAGCCACCACCACUCACAUGGGUCUGAAAGGAAAGCUCUCAACGUGCUCUGCUUGCAGGGAUGUUCAAAAAGGGGCAGGUGAAAUAGUUUGGCAUGCGGUCACAUUGGCUUUUGAAGCCUUGGGCUUUGCUGGAGAACUCCCAGUGGACUUCAUAGAGUGGGUUUGCAGAAUGGACAGUGGGCACAGGCUGGAGGCCAAACAUUUUUAUUUUUCCUCUAUUUUUAUCCAGCUCUGAAGCCCCCUCCCAAGUCCUCGCACUGCUGCUUUGCGGGGUUUGUUUUGCCAGACUUUCACUGCUGCUAUUCUGGGGUAGAAAUGUGAUAAAAGGGAAGAGGGAGGAAAGGUUUAUUUUCCUUUUUUUUUUUUUCCUUAAAGCUAGAAAGGAGAAAAUGGAAAAUAGAAAAUAUGAAAAUGUCCCAAUUCUUUCAGAAUUACUCCUUGGUGAUAUCCACUCUCAAUUACAGAUUUUGUGCAUCAGCAAAAAAAAAAACUAAACUAAAAGCGUGUAGCUCCUGUAGCAAUGGAGGGGCUUGGUCCACUCUGCCUGGGUUGCUGACCUAGAUGCACAGGAAGAGUGUGGUCUGACUACAGCUGCUUUGAAAGACCCAUUGUUCCUUAACGGUGAUCAUUUAUGCUGACAUAGACAUUUUGUGUGUAUCUGUCAACAGGGGAGGGGGAAAUAUUGAAAUGGGUAAUAAAGGAGAUGAAAACAAUCCAUGCUGCUCUCUCGGUAAUAACCAGCUGACAUUAAGCUUAAGCCCAGCCGAUUACGGUUAAUAAUAAAUGAUCAUUAAUUAAAGCUAAAUUACAGGGGGAGGUGCAGGCUUGGCUCUUGAGCCAAUUAGAGCCCUGUAAUUCAUAAUGGACAGAAUCUAUCCAGACAGUGAAUAAAGGCUAGCAAAGUCAACAGCAAGGCUGUGUAAUGGUUAAAAUGCUGCACCGAUAGGGAAGAGGCCAAAAAAGGUUGAAUGGGCCAGACAUCUCGCUUGGUCUGUAUUAUGCCAGCAAGAUAUGCUGCAGUGUGAGUGUGCGUGUGUGUGUGUGCACGUAAGGGCCCAGUGCUGAGCACAGCCUGGCUCCAGAACACUUUGGGAUCAACCCCAAAAGGAGGUACGGACAAGAUGGAUGGAGGAUGGUCUGAUUAUUAAUUGGGUGGUCCCAUAUGGGACCAGGAGUUGGACUUGAUGAUCCUCAUGCAUCCCUUCCAACUUAUAGUAUUCAAUGGCUCUAUGAUUCUACGAUAUUCAUUCACUGUGAGCCCUUCAUGGUGCCAGCUUGAGGGCAAAGGUUCUAGGAAAGUUGGUUGGAUCUCCAGAAAGAGGGCAAGAGGCAACAAAGAGCAAGCAAGGUGUUGAUAGCUAUGUUCCAAUGCAUCCACUGCAUCUCAGAAGAAGUUGUGAACCUUACUGAUUUUUACUUUGGCAUUUACACAAAGGGAUAAGACAGGGUUACCUUGGGGAUGUCUUCCACCCAGACUCACCAUUCAGCUCCCAGUCACAGGCACACCGUCUGGAGUCCAGCACAAAGCCAGGAGAUGGAGCCAAGUCAAAAUAGUCUUGAGGGCUCAGGAAUCAUAACUGUGCAAAUGCGGUUUUAAUCAGAGCUGAAGGCUCACACUUACACUCCUCCACUCUCCCUGGUCCACUUGGGGUCCAUUGUGCAGCAAUGUCACCUCAGAGAGUUUGCACCACAGUGUUGUGCAGGACUCACGUUGUGCCUGAAGCAGAGGGAGAUGAUGACAGCUGCUUGCUUCGCUUUCAGAAGCCAAACUGAAGCUGGCACAAGCUUGGACCUGAUUCUGAUGUGUCAUGUGUGCGAGGACGGAGAGUCAGAGGAGACAUUCAUGCUCAUUGACGUGAUUGUUGGCAAGGGAGAGGCUGUUCACUGAGAGAUGAGAAUGUGAUCCAGAAAGGGGCUGCCAGUGGAGCAGAACGUGCCACCACCUCUGGCAGUAUCAGUGGUGCUGAUAAAGCAGGGAAGACAGGGUACAUUCAUUGGAAGUAUUAGGGAUAAGCAGGUGAGUUACAGAGGCACCCAGACAGCUGCAGAGUACGUGAAGCUAAAUAAUUCCCAUUGUAAUUCAGUCUUCUGCCAAAAGUCUGGGAACCAAAUCCACUGCUCAGACUCUGAGAAGGAGAUGGAAGCCCCUCUGCUUGCAUGAGUGGCACUCAGGGAACCUUGCUCACCCUCAGUUUGCUCAAAGUGCUGGAAUUGCUACCACUUCGUGUAACUCUGAUGGAUUUGGAGAGCAAUAGCAACUUCAAGCAAACCAAGAGCCCCAAGGUGUUUGCGCACAUCAGCACAGCGACAAUCAGGCGUGGAUCCUGGGGACAAAAUAUUCCUUGUUAAACUUCCUGGUGGUACAGAGAAGACUUAGAGUACCCGAAGGCCCCCAGACUGCCAACUAUGAGGAAAAAUAAAACAUUUUGAAAGCUUGGUGUGUUUAAGGCACACUCAGACCUUCAGAUGUGUCUGCCGAAUUAUCUUCAAAUAACGUGUAGCAUCAGUGAUGCUCUGAAAGCGUUGUUCUGGUCCAAAGAAAUUCCACCCGCCUGUUUUCUGCCUAUUUCUUCUGUGUCUUACCUGCACAGCAACUGAUCCAGAUGUGCUAGACUAAAUCAAACUGAAUGUUCCCAUUUAGGAAUAAAUACAGGUUCUGUUUCUAGUUUAAUACCGUGAAGAAAAAGCCUUCUUGCAUUUUGGUUCGACACUGCGAGCAUCCACGCAGGUAAUUCGGAAAGAUGCUCUAGUUCAGACUUGCAUGCUGUGUAAUUACCACCAGGUGCAGAGCAAUCGCUGUGGCACCAUGGUGUGAGCUGCAGGAUGGCUGACACAGCUGAGGUGUCGGGGCUUGCUGGCCCAGAUAAAUGCCAGCUCGUGCCAGCACUGGGUAUGGGGUGGUAGGAGGCAGGGAAGAGGAGCUGGCAAAGCUUGGUUUCCUUUGCACAGCUUUGUCAGAAGCAGGCAGUUACUGACUUAGGGCAAGAUUUCCUAAAUUGCACUGCUCGUGUUUUCUGGGCCAGCAUGUGCAUGUACUUGCGUGCAGAACAGCCAUGGAUGGAGGGUUCCAGGUCUACAACGCACAGCGUGCCAGUAGCUGUGGUUGUCUUAAGAAGAAGCAAGAGGGAACCUGAUCCUGCAGCCAGCCAAACAGCAGUGCAAUCAAAAAGAAUGAGCUGAGCCUGGAAAUAUUUUCAUCAUCAUUUUCCAAACAAAUCUGUUUUUGCAGAGACUUGAUUUUUCCCAUUUUUCUGGGCUCCGGAUCCGAGCGCACAGACAGCAAGAGCAAUUUUUGGGGUAUUCACAAUGGCCGAACCUACCCCACUGCUCCCACGUUGGAUCAGCAUCUUUGGCACCACUCCUGAUGGGAAUGCCUGAUGCAGCAUUGAAGGCCCUGUUCUGAUACAAAUUUCCUUCUAACUGUAGCUUCUAAAGACUUCUAUCCAAUAAUAAGGUAUUUCUUUCCCUUCCUCAUCUCCACAGGUUAUUCUGGAAAAUCAAUUCUCAAGAUGCUGUGGCAGGAAGAAUAAAAACAGCCAAACACAAUUACUUCCAAGCACCUACAGUGAAGAGACAAUGAAGCCCGUAGGAGGAAACAGAGGGAAUCCCUAUACAAAAGAAGGAAAUUUGGGAAGAAUGACUAAUCUAAGCGAGAAAAUUAGAUGCUGUGUUGUUAGCAAGACAAAAGUGUCUCAAAAUGUCAAGCUGAUGUCUCUGUCCUGUGCAGAGUGCCAGGACGUAACACUGCAGUACUGGAACUUACUGGUGGAGCAGGAGGUUGGGAUCUCACAAGGUUUUCAGGGACAGGCUCUGAGAAGCCCACCAUCUGAGCACUGAGCGGCGCGGGGUGACAUUUGAAAAUGCAUCUAAAAUGCUAGCUUGCAAACUGCUUAAAACUGAAUGCUGUCAAGCUGAUUUAGAAGGAUGACCCAAUUUGAUCUUCCAGUGCUGGAAGCUGUUGCUUUUGGCAAAAAGUGUGAUGACUGAGACAGAGCUGGCUGGCUUAGGCUCCUGAGCUCUGCUGUGGGUGUCUGUUGUGCAACAUGUGUGCAAGAAAUGCCUCUCAGAGACAACAAAGAGCACACACCAAGAAAAUAUGUUUCUAAUCCAUUUUGACCCUUUCCAUCCUGUGUUAUCAGAGCUGCUCUCCUUUCCCAGGGCUCUGCCCUCAGGAAUUCCUGGGGAAGGGAGAUGCAGGCAUUCUGCUUUGGCUGUAGCCAUUAGCUACUAAGAUUAUGCUGGGGUACAUUUUGACCUUUUAGUGAAUGUGGGCUCAUACUUUAGAGAUGCCUUGAAUACAGCACUCACAGGGUUUUGGAGAAGUGAGAGAAAAGAUAAGAGAAUAAGGAGGAGCUGAAUACCAGAUAAGGCCCAGAAAAUCCCUCAAUAUCAGUUUUACCUAGAAUAAAAGACCUGGCACCAUUGCUUGAGGUAUGGAUGAGGAGAGACUAAAAAUAAGCCACUGAGGUUUUUGUGACCCGUGUUUUUUUUCUUGUGAAAUGUGAAUUCCACAAAUUCUUAAGAACACCCCCCCUCCCCACAGCCUAUGUAUGACUUCACAGCUUUUAAAAGCAGGGCUUUGGAGGUUCAGUGUGUAUCACACUCCUGAUCACAGGCCCUGGAGGACUGGUGGAGGUACGGACACCUCCCCAUGGCCUUACACAGCACUGGUGACCCACUAUGCUGCUACCAGCUUUGUCACUGCCAGCUCCUUCCCUUAGCACUUUUCCCAUGCACACUGCUGGUCUGAAUCCAUUUCACCCAAAGCUUGCUGUGAUUGCCUCCGGGUUGAACUCAGUCGCUUCAACAGAGCCCUACAGCACAAGUCAACAGUCUCAGACCUGGUCACCCUGCCAUACGUUGUCCUGUGACACAUUCAAAGACCUCAGCAGCCCUGGGAUCCAUAAGGCAGGGCUGUUGCACAGUAUGUGAAAACUCAAGGCAGGUCCUGACAGGCUCUGUGGCUUCAAUUCAGUGAUGGAUGGAUGUGUGCCAUACCCCAUGGCAGGGGUUAUCUAGAGCAUUUAGGUUAUUCUUGGCAUCCGCUUUAUCUCAGUAUUCAGUGCCCGGCCCCUCUGGGAUCCCAGAUAGUGGAAAACUGGCAGAUAGUUUCACCCCCACAGCUUUGACACUUCAGUUUUUAGCCAUCCUUUUCUCUUGACCAAAUUGGCAUACCUUGGUUAAUUUCACCGUAUUCACCCUGAAGUGGUAUAAAAUGUUCACUUCUUUGGUCCCCUGGAUUAUCACAGCAAAGUGCUCACAGUGCUCAGGAUGUUUUGUUUAACCUCUUGCAAAAGCUCAGAGCGGCAUGUUUGUGAUACCCAUUCCUCUCUCUUCCAUUUCACACAUCCUAAAGCCAUUUCCCUUGCGGCUGUGCAAGGCUGGUAGGCUUAAGGAGGUGCGACUCUUCAGGCUUUUACAAGUAGAAGCCCUUGUGAGUAAGGUCAGCAGCCUCAAAGGGAGAUGUUAUCUCUUUUCAGACAGAAAGAGAUGCUUCCCAAAGGGAUGGAUGCCCCCUUCCCAACCAAAGGUCCUGCAGAUGCACAAAGGCUGUCCAGGUCCUCAUGGAUUUUGCCACCGUGGUUGGAAUUUUUGCUAUCUGCCUGGACUUACUCUUUCCAUCACACCCUUGUGAUGAAAAGAAGAUGGGCAGCACCUUCAGAGAGGCUGGUCUGCGAAGGAAGACAGAUGGGUUCCGUGCCAGAAGCUGCAGCAACAAUGGAAAGGGAUGGGGUUAACCUACCCUUGCCCCAUUCCUAGGCUGAGAUGCUCUGAGGCUGCUGUAAAUCUCACAAGAAAUGCAGCAAUCCCAUGGCUGGGCUGAGCCCCAGGAGACAGCCCCUCCUCUCCUUUCAUCUUCCUUGUGCUGAGGUUUGCAAAGAGAACGUCAGCAAGAUCUCCAUCUCUCUGAGACCACCAGAUGCAACCUCUUGGCCAUGUGCUGGAAACAGACCUGUGCAGCUGCACUGUGAAGGUCAUUUCUCCUGCAGUCACUAGCUACAGAGGCUGAAUGGGGAGCAACCAGUGCACGUGACAAGAAUGGUGUGAGGCACCAAGUACCAAAGUAUUCGGGGUGAAGACUGAGCAAAGCAAACCUAAGGAAGCAGGAACAGAGCCUCCUGAAGGGAUGGGACCAGCCCACUCGCUCAACGCACAAGUCAGGACUCGUAGGGACUCAAACCCUGCAAAAGAAGGGCCACGCUGCCCGGCUGCAGCGUUUGCUUUUCCAACGAAACGCUGCGAAAGGUACCGUGCUCAUCCGCUCGUGGCUGCAAGGGGAGAAUCAACUCCCUGAAACCCGAGGGCAUUUUUUCUUUGUCUGCUCGGUGGUUUCCUUGGCUGCUUUGGGGAGGGUUUUCUAACAGUAAAACCACUGCAGAAUCCUGCCCAACUGCGGCUUGAAAUUCAGCACGUUCGGCCCUGAGGGCUGCCUGGGCCUCCCCCAUUCUUUCAGUGGGAAGCGCGGGAAGCGGGGCCCCUGCCUUUGUCCUGCAGGGCGACGGUUCCAGGCUGGAGCGCUCCCACCCUGCUACCAAACCUCCACCUGCAGAAGGAAACCACGGGGCCUGCCCCUGCCCCGAGCACUCAGCCCUCCAGGAAACCAGGAACGAACCUGCUGGCAACUGGGGGCUCUCUGCUUUCAGUGGGUUUAAAUCUUGAUAAAAAAAUAACCUCCCUUCUGCCCCAUGCUUCCCACCCCCCUCUCCCAACUCUUUACAUUUUCCCGGCGCUGCCGAGUCCCUUUUCCUGCUGGAUUUUGCAACCUUCUGGCAGGACUGGGCAAGCUCUGCCCAUUGCACCGCGCAGUGCUGGCAGCCGCCCGUCCUGCCUUCUGCUGCCACAGACCCCCCGCCCCACCCGGCCCCCCGCCGCGCAGAGCAGCACGGGGACCAAUCCACGCGGUGGUGUACAAAGCUUUUGUUUUUUUUUUUUUCCUUUUUCAAAGUAAUCCGUAUUUUGGAUCACCCCGAUCGGAGCAGAUUAGCACCCUGGAGCAUGCCUUUGCCUGGGCACGAUAAAGACCUCCUGUGGCUUUGCUGCAGGAGAUGCCACAACCAAGCUUUAGAAAACAGGGGCUCCUGGACCCCGUGCCGCUUCCCCCCUCCCUCCUCCUUUUUCUUUUUUUUUUUUUUUUAA